AUUGAACGCUGGCGGCAUGCUUUACACAUGCAAGUCGAACGGUAACAGGGUGCUUGCACCGCUGACGAGUGGCGAACGGGUGAGUAAUGCGUCGGAACGUGCCGAGUAGUGGGGGAUAACGCAUCGAAAGGUGUGCUAAUACCGCAUACGUACUGAGGUAGAAAGUGGGGGACCUUCGGGCCUCACGCUAUUCGAGCGGCCGACGUCUGAUUAGCUAGUUGGUGAGGUAAAGGCUCACCAAGGCGACGAUCAGUAGCGGGUCUGAGAGGAUGAUCCGCCACACUGGGACUGAGACACGGCCCAGACUCCUACGGGAGGCAGCAGUGGGGAAUUUUGGACAAUGGGCGCAAGCCUGAUCCAGCCAUACCGCGUGGGUGAAGAAGGCCUUCGGGUUGUAAAGCCCUUUUGUUGGGAAAGAAAUCCAGCCGGCUAAUACCUGGUUGGGAUGACGGUACCCAAAGAAUAAGCACCGGCUAACUUCGUGCCAGCCGCCGCAGUAAGAC
rnacentral:rRNA from 1 species